AAUGACUAAAGAUGGUAAAGAUGUUUACGAUUUAUGGUUUAUAUUGGAAGGAAACGGGUCUAAUCGCGGCAGUGUGCUUGAUGCGUAUUGCUGUUGUCUUGGUGGUAGAGAUGGUGGAUGUAAGCAUGUAUCAUCUGCUUUGUAUUCUCUUGAUGAUCUGCUUAAUUCUAGAGGAGAGGAUAGUGUUACAAGUAAGGAGUGUAAAUGGAUUCGAAGCAUUCGAUUAAACAAUUUUGGCUUACCAAGGUUGUGCCACACAUGUUCAAAAAUUCUGCAUUUUGAAUAAGGUAUCUUCUGAAUGUACAAAUGGCUCCACAAAGAUAAAGUAUUUUCAUAAACAAAAUCCGGUGAACAAAGAUGAAAAUGAGGCUGCUUUUUUAUGCAAAACAGGUAUCACAUAUCAAGUAUCAAGUGGUUUAUUAAGCGCCAGGAUGUUUUGUUAUGCUCCUCAAUUUUUUUCUUAAUUUCCUUAGAUGAUACGGUAAGCAUCUUAGAGACAGAAAACAGUGAUCCGCCGAUGAAGUCUGUUGUCUUAUUUGGCUUUGAUGUGCAACAAGAAGACAUAGACAGUCUACAACCAAAGGGACUUAUCACAGACACAAUCUUGUCUAUAUUAAUGAGUGAGCACUGCUGUGAAUACCCCAUAGUAGACACUUUAUUCUAUUCUGUUCUUGUUGGAGAUCAAGAACUGAAAGUGAGAACAUCAAGCAGGUUUCAGUAACUGACAAUGAUAUUGCACUUAUCUUUCAAAUAUUCUACUUUUAUACAUUGUAUUUAAUGUUUGUAGACUAGAAAGAAUCCAAGCUGCAGAACAAUUUUUCAGUGCAAAGUUACUUGAAAAAGAUUAUGUGUUUGUGCCAAUCAACAGAAGCCUACACUGGUUUUUGGCCAUCAUUUCACCAUGGUAGGAAAAGCAACAUUUGCUAUAUUGCAUGUGUUCCUUUAAAGCAUGUAAUGUUACAAUAGUAACCAAUUUCAUAUUUAGGCAUAUCCUUGUUCUGGACUCUUUAACUUGGGAUAAAGAAGACAAGAAAUCUACAUUUGAAUAUAUUUCACAAUAUUUGGACUACACCUUUCAAAAGCACAGCAUCAAAAGAAAGCAUCGUUCUCAUCAUAUGUUAAAAGUCCCACAGCAGGAAAUCUCUUCAAAUCUCUGUGCUGUUUUUGUAUAACUUUUUAUUAAAUACUUUUUGAAGGUAAUUAUGGAAACUACAUGUUUCUUCAAGUUAGAGCCUAAUAAUAGGAAAGAUGUACUCAAUGCAAUAACAUAGGGAAGAGUGCUUACUUUUUCAAUCUCACAAAAUUUUUUAGGAUAUUGAAAAAUAUGAGAAAUGUCCCAAUGAUUUCAUUCUCAUGGAACAUAAAUGGUUCAGUAGCAAGGAUGCCACAAUGGAAAGAAAUAAAUGGCACAAAACUUUGCACACAUUGUUUACUCUGCAUUGAUCUAAGUUUAUCUUUAACACAAAGGAAUAUUUUAUUGUAUAUUUUUUAAAGCUUCUAUAUACAAUGUUUUAAGGUGAUGCAAUAAUCUGUGGUUGCAAAUUAACCAAUGCUGCACAGAUAGACACAACAGAAUCAAUAUAUGGUUUCAUUGUUAA